UAAGGAAUAUUGGUCAAUGCCCGGAAGGGUGAACCAGCCAUCCCGCGUGAAGGAUGAAGGGGCUCUGCCUUGUAAACUUCUUUUGAAUGGGACGAAAAAGCCUCACUUGUGAGGAACUGACGGUACCAUUAGAAUAAGCACCGGCUAACUCCGUGCCAGCAGCCGCGGUAAUACGGAGGGUGCGAGCGUUAUCCGGAAUCACUGGGUUUAAAGGGUGCGUAGGCGGCUGUAUAAGUCAGUGGUGAAAGGCUGUGGCUUAACCAUGGGAUUGCCAUUGAUACUGUACGGCUUGAAUUAGGAUGAGGUUGGCGGAAUGUGACAUGUAGCGGUGAAAUGCUUAGAUAUGUCAUGGAACAUCGAUUGCGAAGGCAGCUGACUGGACCUUAAUUGACGCUGAGGCACGAAAGCGUGGGGAGCGAACAGGAUUAGAUACCCGGGUAGUCCCUGAGCGGGCUGGCAAGGCGCAU
rnacentral:rRNA from 1 species